UACAGAGGUCUCAAGCGUUGUUCGGAUUUAUUGGGCGUAAAGGGUGCGUAGGUGGCGCCGCAAGUGGGGUGUGAAAUCUCGGGGCUUAACUCCGAAACUGCAUUCCAUACUGCGGUGCUCGAGGACUGGAGAGGAGAGUGGAAUUUACGGUGUAGCGGUGAAAUGCGUAGAGAUCGUAAGGAAGACCAGUGGCGAAGGCGGGUCUCUGGACAGUUACUGACACUGAGGCGCGAAAGCGUGGGGAGCAAACAGG
rnacentral:rRNA from 1 species